rnacentral:rRNA from 1 species
AUACCCGGGUAGUCCCAGCCGUAAACGAUACUCGCUAGGUGUCGGCCACGGUGCGACCGUUGUCGGUGCCGUAGGGAAGCCGUGAAGCGAGCCACCUGGGAAGUACGGCCGCAAGGCUGAAACUUAAAGGAAUUGGCGGGGGAGCACCACAACGGGUGGAGCUUGCGGUUUAAUUGGAUUCAACGCCGGAAAUCUUACCGGGACCGACAGCAACAUGAAGGCCAGGCUGAAGACUUUGCCGGAUUAGCUG